CUGAGUGUUUUGUAUAGUGUAGGUUUGGAAAAGUAGAUAUACAUUGAAUUUCAAUAAGAUCUUCAUACUCUGGCACACACUUUCUAUUUAAAAAUUUUAAAGGUUUUUUUCACAGAACCCCUAUGAUGCUUUUGUGGAACCCUAGGGUUCCAUGGAACACAGUUUGGGAAAUGCCGCUCUAUGAAGCAUAAGUUGAGAAAGCAGAAUUAUUCCUGCAAGGACAAUCUCAAAAUGUGCUAUGAUUCCCAGGAAGGAGUCAAGACGAGACAAGGGCAAAUUUUCAAGCUAAUGCAGACUUCUACAACAGCUCCAAUGUGAAGGCUCCUGUGUGAAAAAGCUACUGUGUGAAGAUCCUGUGUAACUUCGGUGUCAGAAGACGCUCUGUGAGAAUGAAGCUAGAAGCUGUUUAUCUUCAUCAGAAAGAAGCCCUACAU